UAGAGUUUGAUCAUGGCUCAGGAUGAACGCUAGCGGGAGGCCUAACACAUGCAAGUCGAGGGGUAACAUUGUCUUCGGACAGAUGACGACCGGCGCACGGGUGAGUAACGCGUAUGCAACCUGCCUUUGACAGAGGAAUAGCCCGGAGAAAUCCGGAUUAAUACCUCAUGGUAUUUAAGACUCGCAUGGGUUUUAAAUUAAAGAUUUAUCGGUCAAAGAUGGGCAUGCGUGACAUUAGCUAGUUGGUAAGGUAACGGCUUACCAAGGCUACGAUGUCUAGGGGUUCUGAGAGGAUGAUCCCCCACACUGGUACUGAGACACGGACCAGACUCCUACGGGAGGCAGCAGUGAGGAAUAUUGGUCAAUGGGCGCAAGCCUGAACCAGCCAUCCCGCGUGAAGGAAGACGGCCCUAUGGGUUGUAAACUUCUUUUCUGCACCAAGAAUGGACAUUACGUGUAGUGUUUUGACGGUAGUGCAGGAAUAAGCAUCGGCUAACUCCGUGCCAGCAGCCGCGGUAAUACGGAGGAUGCAAGCGUUAUCCGGAUUUAUUGGGUUUAAAGGGUACGUAGGUGGCCUUGUAAGUCAGUGGUGAAAUCCUGCCGCUUAACGGUAGAACUGCCAUUGAUACUGCAGGGCUUGAGUACAGUUGAGGUAGGCGGAAUGUGUAGUGUAGCGGUGAAAUGCUUAGAUAUUACACAGAACCCCGAUUGCGAAGGCAGCUUACUAAACUGUAACUGACACUGAGGUGCGAAAGC
rnacentral:rRNA from 1 species